UACAUAGGGUGCAAGCGUUGUCCGGAAUUAUUGGGCGUAAAGAGCUCGUAGGUGGUUCGUUACGUCGGAUGUGAAACUCUGGGGCUUAACCCCAGACCUGCAUUCGAUACGGGCGAGCUUGAGUAUGGUAGGGGAGUCUGGAAUUCCUGGUGUAGCGGUGGAAUGCGCAGAUAUCAGGAGGAACACCAAUGGCGAAGGCAGGACUCUGGGCCAUUACUGACACUGAGGAGCGAAAGCGUGGGGAGCGAACAGG
rnacentral:rRNA from 1 species